rnacentral:rRNA from 1 species
GUGUUCCUACGGGAGGCAGCAGUAAGGGAUAUUGGUCAAUGGGGGAAACCCUGAACUAGCAACGCCGCGUGAGGGAAGACGGUUUUCGGAUUGUAAACCUCCGUCCUCUGUGAAGAUGAUGACGGUAGCAGAGGAGGAAGCUCCGGCUAACUACGUGCCAGCAGCCGCGGUAAUACGUAGGGAGCGAGCGUUGUCCGGAUUUACUGGGUGUAAAGGGUGCGUAGGCGGCUUGGCAAGUCAGUAGUGAAAUCCAUGGGCUUAACCCAUGAACUGCUAUUGAAACUGUCGAGCUCGAGUGAAGUAGG